rnacentral:lncRNA from 10 species
GAUACUGCCUAGUCAAUUACAUGGGCUUCCUUUCACACUUACAUCAAGGCCAAGAGUAAACUGUUCCAAGCACAAUGCAACAGCCUGUUUCUUUUGAAGCAAAUAAAAUAGGAGCAUCGUUUUCAAUCUUUUUUUUUUUUAAUUUUGCCUGAAAAGUGACAGGAUAAGAAUUAGGCUAAAGAGAGAAGCAUGAAGAAACCUUUUCUUCCAGAAGGCUGAACAGCACUGCAUUAACAAUACACUUCCUGAUGGGUGAAGAAACUAAACUGAGAAGAACUAAAUUACUUGCUCAUAGUUAACCAGCUAUUAUGUGGCAGAGCAGAGAAUCAAGGCAACUACCAUUUAUGGAAGAAAAGCAUUUUAAGGUAAAGGUAACCUUCUGAUUUCAAUUGCCCGUUUGGAUCAACCAUCAGACCCAGUCAUGGAGAGGACGCAGAAAAUGGAAUCUAGGAAAGAAUGAGCCAGGAUCUUGUGGACCGAGCUGAAGCGUGAAUCUUCCUCGCCAGAAACACCCCAGCAACCAAUUACCCUGGACGUGACGCCGAGGCCCACCUAGUGGUCAGCCAUCUGCCUAGGCAGACAAUAAAGCUCAAUUUUUC